CCGAAAUCCCUCCGGAGGGGCUCCCACGGCACAGCGUCACCUCCAGCAGCGCAGCGCUUUGGCGUGAGUCGGCUCCAGGAGGUGCAUCCCCAGCAGCAGCGCGCAGCCCAGCAGCAGCAGAGCCAUGAAGGCCAACAGCACCAGGCGGCCCACCAGGAAGGUGUCCACGAUCUGGGGGCCCACGGGCGGCCCCGCGCUGCCGUCCUCCCGCGGGUACAGCAGCAGCGCGGCGCUGAGCAGCGCGGCGCACAGCGGCACGGGCAGCGCGGCCAACCGCGCGGCCCCGGGGGCGCGUGCGAGCAGCAGGCAGAGCAGCAGCGCGAGCGCCCACAGCCCCGCCAGCAGCAGCGCGCCCGGCCCCGCGCCCAGCGCCGCUCCC
rnacentral:lncRNA from 1 species